UACGUAGGGGGCAAGCGUUGUCCGGAUUUAUUGGGCGUAAAGAGCGUGUAGGCGGCCAUGUAGGUCCGUUGUGAAAACUCGAGGCUCAACCUCGAGACGCCGGUGGAAACUGCAAAGCUAGAGUCCGGAAGAGGAGAGUGGAAUUCCCGGUGUAGCGGUGAAAUGCGCAGAUAUCGGGAGGAACACCGGUGGCGAAGGCGGUUCUCUGGGCCUUACCUGACGCUGAGGAGCGAAAGCGUGGGGAGCGAACAGG
rnacentral:rRNA from 1 species